rnacentral:rRNA from 1 species
GACAGAGGUGCCGAGCGUUAGGCGGAAUCACUGGGCUUAAAGCGUGUGUAGGUGGAUGCCUAAGUACCUUGUGAAAUCCCUCAGCUUAACUGGGGAACUGCGUCUGAUACUGGAUGGCUUGAGUGUGGGAGAGGAAUGCGGAAUUCCAGGUGUAGCGGUGAAAUGCGUAGAUAUCUGGAGGAACACCGGUGGCGAAGGCGGCAUUCUGGACCAUAACUGACACUGAGAGACGAAAGCCAGGGGAGCAAACGGA